CUGUCCUGGCUGGCAGCAGUUGCCAUAGCUACUUCCCUCUGACUACCCCCAAUCUAGAACUGGACUGGACAAUUCUGAAACUUACCAAGAGUUGCAAAUGCUACUUAGGCUAAUCUUGGGGCCAUUUCUGCAGCAGAGGAGUGUGGUCCUGCCCAAGUUCAAGGGACAAAAGGAGAGACAAUGGAGAAAUGGUCCAGAAAGAUCAAGUGUGAACACCCACAGAAAUGUAGGGCUAGAAGGACUCCAAAAGACAGCUGCUCCAACCUGACAUCUGAUGGAAAUGGAAUCAGAAAAACCAAGACUGAAAUGCCUUCAACUGCCUUUCCUAUGACCCUGUUUAAGUUACAUAAUUUCUCUGACCUCUGAGUUUUCCUUUGUGACACUUACCACACACUCAUAGUGAGGAUAAGAAGCUGCUGCCGUGACAUGCACAGUACGCCUAGUCCAUCAGAAUCAUCUGAGUGAUGGUAGCUAUCUUGCUCAUUCCCUGGGAAAGUGCUCAGAAACUCAGCGUUCUCCACCACCAUUUUCAGUUCUCUGCACGAAUGCAAUUAUUGCUGGGGUCCUAUCCAGCUCUGACAUUUGGGGCUCUCUCUGUCUAGGGCCAGGGUCACACACAAAUCAAUGGCCAGGCAGUAAGAUCAGUGAGAGAAGCUGGCACCCCCAAGUGUGAGGUCACAGAGCUGUGCAAUCCAUCUUGGCUAAAAGAUGCAUGUGAGCACAUGGGAGGACCCUGAGAUAUACCACGUAUGUACUCUGAACCAGGUAAAUCAAAAUGAUUGGCCAAAGGAAAACCAGAAGAAAUGCCCCAUAAAAGUGAUUCAAACUACCAUGAGGGCACAACUCGGGAACACUCUUGGAGUCUGUCUGUGUGUCUAUCCACAGCUGGGAGACGGUCGAGCUGAUGUACAGAACCAGAAGGGAGUGCUUUGCCAGCUGGUUGGGCAUGCUGACGCCAGCAUCUCUCGUGGUGGAUCAGAGAAGCCCAGGAAACUGUAGCCACAGCAGGGUCUGUCGGGUGUCCAACCUGUCUGAGAGAAUGCCUUUCCUUCAUCCCAACUCAGCAAGUCAUCCACAGUUCCAGAGGCAUCAACUGCCCCCUUGCUGACCUCUUAGAAACAUCUAGUCCUAGGAGCACCCCUGGGAGGCUCUUCCCGACUGUGCCCAAGCCUCCCUGUGCCCCCUAGCCCCUGCCGUAACACAGACCACACCACCAAUGAAGGUCCUAGUUCCUGACUUCCAGGAGAGCAUCUGUGGGAUGGGGACCAGCAUGGCUCCAGGGACCAGAAGGGCUGGAAAAUGAAUUUCCAGUUCCAAGAAGACACCCCAGGAACCCACCCUGGAUGCGUGCAGCACCAUGGCCACCUGCCCCCAUCCUCUGUAGUCUCCUUGCUGCCAGUCUUGGCCCCCUGCAGUCAGUCCAUUCUUCUCACCACAGCAGGCCCUGUGAACUUUAAAAAUUACCAGGCAAAGUCUAUGGCAUCCUUUGAAACCCUUCCUGUGCCCUUUCCAUGGCCCUCAAGGCCACAUAAAGAUCUGGCCUCACUCAC
rnacentral:lncRNA from 1 species